rnacentral:rRNA from 1 species
UACGGAGGGGGUUAGCGUUGUUCGGAAUUACUGGGCGUAAAGCGCGCGUAGGCGGAUUGGAAAGUUGGGGUGAAAUCCCCGGGGCUCAACCCCCGGAACUGCCUCCAAAACCUACCAGUCUGGAGUUCGAGAGAGGUGAGUGGAAUUCCGAGUGUAGAGGUGAAAUUACGUAGAUAUUCGGAGGAACACCAGUGGCGAAGGCGGCUCACUGGCUCGAUACUGACGCUGAGGUGCGAAAGUGUGGGGAGCAAACAGGAUUAGAUACCCCCGUACGU